UACAUUUCAGUAUCUGAUGCAGGAAUUCUUGUGCACCAGACAAACAGUGCAAGCUCUGGGCCCAGCUGUAACAAGCACAAUUCUGGGAAGCAUUGGCUGCACCAUUUUUAGUGUCCCUGCAUUUAAAGGGCAGGUUGAUUUCUGCUGCUCGGCAUUUAAAGGGCAGGUUGAUUUCUGCUGCUUGACAUCUAUCAACACAUAAUCUGGUCAGCCUGUUCUUUGCUGAAAUGUACAUUUUUAUUUCAGAUCUUCUCUAAAGAGAACUUCAGAGUAGGCAGACACAACAAUGGGUUCACUGCCACACAGGUUCCUACUAUGUGCCACUCCUGAACUGAACAUAAAGUUUUAAUUCCCCUUCUAAGGAGGGACCUAAGCAAGCCAAAGCCCUGUGGUUGUACAAACAUUCACACACACAGUCUGAAACAAGCCAUCAAGGAUUAUUCCUGGAGUGAUUAGGGACAAGUCCUAACAAGCCUUCAUAAUAAUGCAGACUAUUUAAAGCUUCUGAGGGCCAGGAUCAUGUGGCAAAGGGCAGGGUAAAUGAAAACAGGGUAAUUUUUGAUGCCACGAAUGUGCUAAAAUGGGAGGUGGGGAAUGUUUCUGAGAGUCUUUGGGGGGAGUUGACUGGAAGGAGGGGAACAUUAUAAUAAUAGUUAGCAUUUAUGUAACUCUUCAUGUAUUUAAACCACUGCACAAACACUGACUAGGGAGGAACUGGAAUGCACUGCAUGAUACCCAAGGCAGAGCUAUUUUAUUUUUUUUCUUUUUUAGUGUUGGUCUAGGGUAACAAGUAGCUCUAGUGAGGGGAGCAGCAGCAUGGCUUGCCUGGCACGUGAAUGGGUGUCACUUACUGCAGCAGGGCCAGAGGGAUGCAGAAAGAAAUGGGUAUGGCUGUGGUGAGUAGAGUAUUCCCUGGGGAGCAAGGGGGAGAUCUGGCUCUGUCACAUCUUCUUGUGUGCCCUUACAAAGGUGUGAAAGCCUUAAAGUGCCAUGUAAUUCUCCUUGAAGUGACAACAUUUUGCCCUUGGCUCACUGUUUACUUGGAAAAAUGUGAACGAAUAGGUGCAGCUGUGAUUUCUGUCCCCAUGGGGUCAAGGCCAAGUUGGGGGACUUGAAGUCAGAUGGAAAAAGGAAUUUCCCUAUGGCUGUGAUGGCGCAAUGAGGUGAGAACAACUGCAAGUGCAGCCCUACCAACAGCAGGCCUGUCAAGGAGCAGCAGGGUGCUUGGCCACCCUCUCUUAGGAAUUGUGUGUCAUCUGCCCUGCGCUGCUGGGAGAGAAUCUGUGGUGAUACAACCAGGGCAGCAGCAGCAGCAGAUCCUAGCAGCUACACCAGGCCUUGCUUGGGCCUCAUUUCCCAGCAUUAACCCAGGGUUUCUUUUUGCUGCCUGCAACCUCUUACACAUUUCCCAGAAGGUUUAUUUUGUCUGGUGGUGGAGAGGCUCUUGUGAGGGCCUCAGUUCCAGGAUGCCUGGAUGCAGGUGCAUCUGCUUUUGAAAUAACUGGGAGUUUGAUGGAUGACUGAAAUGGCAGGGAGGAUGGGGGGAAUCAAGCAACUUUUUUUCUGGCUUCCCUGCUGAACUGAAAACUUUGAGGACUUAUUUUUUUAAAUUUUUUUUCCAUGCAGAAUGAAGUAUUCAAUGCUCUCAACACAAACAAAAAGAAAAGUGUAUAGCAAGAUAAAGUCUCGUUUUAAAUGGAAAAUUCAGCUUUUCUCAAGCAAAACAAAACAGCUUGAUUUUUACUUACUUACUUUUGUUUUCUUCCAGAAAGAACCAAGUCACCAGAACCACUAGGGUGUUUUUUUUCAUCCACUGUUAAAAACCUUUGGUCAGUGAAAACAUUUCCCUGAAAUAUUUCUGUUAGAGCUCCCUCUGAGCAUCUCUAUGUUCAUCAUGCUUUCUUCAUGCAGGAUGCAAUACUGGGUUCAUGCUACCUGCUCCUUCCAAGAUCCCUGUUUUGAUUUUGAUUUUGCUGAAAGAGUUUCCAAAGGACUGCCAAAGGAGUUGGUAGAAAUCUUCUUAGUUGCAGUUUCUCCAGUGGAGAGGAGAAACCAUCUAUUUGAUUUUCUGUUUACGGCUCCCAUUUCUUGUGUUGUCUCCAGGGUGGAGAUGGAUUGAGAGGGCUGCUCUGGUGUCCAGUCUUGGGUGGAGGUUCCUGUAUCCCAUGUGCCUGGAUUUAUGGUAGAUCUUGCUUAUUCUUCCCAAGUGACAUCUGAGAGCUACUUUACAUAAUGUUUCCUCUUCUCAUUCAGGCUGUUGUUCGGCACUUAGCUGUUCCUCCUGACUCUCAGUUAUGAAAUAUCUUCGUCUCUCUAAAUAGAAAGGCCUCUCUUGGUUCUUGGGAGCUUCCUGGGAUGUUCCUACUUGUGGACUUCAAGUGCUGUGCAGAGGCCUUGCUCUCUGUAGUCCUGUUUUUGGCUGUUGCUAGAGAAGAGCUGUUGCCUCGAGUAUUUUUUUUGUGCCAGUGCCCUCAGCUGUUGCACAAACGAGCUGAGCAUUUGAGGGCCAUCUUUUCUUGCCUUCUCCUGUGUGCUCCACUGUUUGAUACCCAGCCUGGUGGCUUGGAAUCCUCACAAGAAGUGCCUUUGUCUUUUUGACAGACUUGGCCCAGGUUGCAAAUGUCAACCCAAGGUGUCAAAGUGAGUCACUGCACACACAUGCAUCUUGAGAGAGGAUUUUCCAUGCAACAUGAUGAAGUCAUUGACAGCCGUGUUGUGCAACUGUCCAUCAUGAAUCAUGGGGACCAGUGACUGAGGAAGGCUCAGGCUGUGGGACCAAUGUGUGUAAUUAUCCCUAAUAACAUGAAUGUAGAACAAAUUAAUUAACAACUGACAUGUUCUUUCCACUCACUUGGCCCCAGUUGUCCCAUUGGGCAGCCUAAUGUUUUGUGUGUGUUUCUGGCAGGCUCCUUUAGUAUUCCACUUCUUUUGUCGGGGAGAUGAAUGAGUCUGCUCCUUGCCUAAGGGAGAUGUCAAGGAAUCUGGCUACUGGCAGGCUUUUUACUUUGCUGUAUGUCUACCCGCUGAGCCCUGGAGAGUUCAUGGAGUUCCUUGGCUGCCAUGAAAUCAGCAGUGCCCAGGAGUGAGACCAGUCACGGUGGAAGCCACAAGGGAGAUUUCUGUAGAUCAGAUGGGAAAUCACUGGAUGCCCUCAGGACUGAAUAAUUGUCCCAAUGCCCCAUUUGAUGGUGCGACAGUCAAAUAGCACAAUUGUGCAUGCUGCUUGGGCCCAAGUGGUAUGGAAGAAAAAGACAGCUAAACUCAACUAAUUACAAGCCCUGCAUAAGUACAGCAAAAUUCAAAGGCUCCAUAGUAAACUUCUUAGAAACCUCAUUGAAAAUUGGUAGUCACCGAGUGAUAAAAUACGUGAACUUUUUCUCUGAUAAAGUUAAAAUGUGGUGAUUUUUCUUCUGAAAUACUCUUGCAGAAGCACUGACGAGAUAAAUGUAUUUGUGUCGUGGAUAAAACGCCCGAUGAAAACUAAUCCGAGAGACGGAGUAAGUGAUCGGAGAGAGCCAGGAUUGUCAGUGCUUCCCAUCUGCUUUGCAUCACUGAGCCGGGCAAAACAUCAGAGCAUAUUGGUGAAUCUGGCAGACGUCAUGUUAUUUUUAUGUCAUCCUUAUUCUUCCAGGGCCUGAUCCAAGCCUCACUGAAAUCCAUAGAAAUGAGUGGACUUUCCUUUACAUCAGCAAGCUUUGAAUUGGUUCCUUCCCGCUCACUGUUAAUGUCAGGAGCCUGUGAUGGGUCUUGGAGGCAUUUUGACAGAGCAGCUGGGCACAACCGUGCUUUCCUUUUUAAUCCUGCCCUCUGAUGAUCUUGUUAUUGAUGUAUGGUGAUGGCUGGGGUCCCGAGAUAAAAUGAAAUGGGAAGCAUAACAAACUGGAAAAUGCAUACUGAUAUAGCAGUGAAUGAGACCAUUCCCAGAAGUGCUGAAAUUUGACGGGAUUUAGAAUCCCAAAGACCCUAUUAUUUUGGAAAAUGGACCACAUGCUUUCAAGACAUUUGGGCAGCUCUGAAAACUUCAUCCAUCACUUCUAUGGAGAGCAGAGUAGACCUUAUGUAAUAUCACAGGCAACAGCCAGAACUGUUGAGAGUAAAACCCACAAAAUGGCCCGAUCUUCUAUUGUUUCUGAAGGUGUGAAUUCCUCUUUUCCUGAUAUUAAGUAACUUUUGGGUGUUGUCCUUUUCUGUUAAAAGAAGAGUCUGCUGUAUAUUGCAAAAAGAUGUUUUUAAGUUCCCUCACAUGCCUGUCAAUCCAGACAUCACUCCUUAGUCCCAUUAUGUUUAUUUCUAUAGACGCAUAAACUAACAAUCUUACACUUAUUAAUCAAGGUGAUUCAGCCAUGCCUCCCACUGCCUUUCUCUGAUUCCAAUCUUAUUCCAAAAUGCAGCCCUAAAUGUCACUGGGGUUACUUAUAAAACAUGGUGCUGCUCUGCAUGAGUAAGACUAUUUGAAUGUGGCCUGGAGUAAAGUUACUAAUUCUCAGUGAGAAGCAGAGCUAGACAAAGAUUGCAAAAUAUUGUCCACUAAUCUGUUCUUGAAUUUUUAAACAUAUUUUUUUGUCUCUGUUCACUCGUGGAUCUCUGAGCUAAUGAACUUGCUGACAGGAAUGUUCACCAUAACAACCCAUUUACAGCAAAUAUUGCAAGAUCUUUGCACUCUUCCCUUCAUUCAAAAUAAUACCAGUCUCCCUCCCCAAGAAAUGACCUUCCUGUUUCAGAGUUUUGUCAUUAAUUGAGAAUAUUCACAUUGGUGAGAUGUUUUGUUUGUUUUACAAAACCCUCUUCUAGCAAGAAAACAGAAUUAAACUAACCGAAGUAGAAUUUAACAAAGAAAGACCUCUGAGUCCCAAUGCCAAGAGAGAGGAUGGUCCCAAAGCUGGAGCUACAGGGAGAUGUGGAGGCCAGUCCUCAAUCCACCAAGGGCUUUGCUGCUCUCUGCCUUGCAGCACACUGAAAUGUGAACAGCUUCCAGGACCUCAGAUACACUGGGGUGUGCAUGAGGGAUGCAUAAUACUGACAAAUCAUCUGCUUGUGACCCAUCUAUAAAAAAAAAAGGUGUAGAAAUGAUUUAGUUACAAGUUCUUUACCUAAAGAUGUCCUUUCAUCUGCUGGUGGAUAUUUUCUUCGAGGAGAUUAUUCAUGGAGCAAGGUUCUAAAAUAAAAAUUGAGGAGGAUGGAGCAAAGCUGGGCUUUGGUGAAUACAUCUAAACCCUAGACACAUUGCAAAUAAACGGAGCUUGUUCCCAGGCAACUCCCAAGUAGAAAAUAGGCACAACUGUUCUGAACGAUUUUCUCUACGAUUUGUUUACCUAGCUGUAGGGUCUUCUUCAGAGUCAGGCAAAAUCAAAGGAGAGACAGUUAUUGACCUCAGCUUGCUUUGAAUCUGGCUUGUAAUGAGAGCUAUGCCCACACCAAGUUUCAAAUUCCAAGCAGCUUGAUGUGGCCUUUUAGAGAGAAAAAAAUUGUUAGAAUUUUUAUUACAAUAUGAAAAUGCAAUUUUUCAUUCUCUCCUCAUUUCAGAAGGUCUAAAGGGAUUUUACUCAACUUCUUCUUCUACCUUCAGGCAGGGACCAAAUCUGAGAAAUUGCAGCCCAAUUUUGGAAAGUUCUCAGGAUGUGAAAAUCAGGGGCUCAUGAUGGGAAGCUGCUGUUCAACACACUUUGUUGUCAUGAGUGCUUCUGGGAAUCUGCUGCAGACAAGGUGCCCCCUUCCCCCUCACUUUGUUUUGUUUUAUAUCUUUCCACCACCUGAUCAGAAUGAUUUAAAAACAAAAAAGGCUCUGAUCAGAACCCUAGGAGGUUUUGCCCUGCUGGGACCAAGAUGGCUAGAAGGUAGUCAAGAUCUGGCCUUGCAGAGUCUGGGAAUUACCUAGCAUCUUCUAGAGUGUGACAUCCAGCAGAAAAACAUAAAUCUUUUCGCUGCCUGAAACUCAGCAAGGUCAAAUGCAGUCUUGCUGUUAUUCUGGCACUGAAUUUAGCAGCCCCAGACAAAACUGCAGGGGCAGCUAAAUUCAGGGGUUCUUCCUUUAGGCAAAGUCAUGAAACUAUUGUUGAUGCUUUUGAUGAUGCAAGGUGUAAUAGAGUUAGUAUUGAUUUGCUUUUGCAAUGUCCAGUGUUUAGAAGAGUGUGGAAGAGUGUCGUGUGCCCUUAUCAAGAGCAAAUGUGAGUCUGAAUGCAGCCGGUAUUAUUUUCAAGCCCAAUUUAGGUACCAUUGUUAGGCAUUUUGACAAAAUUCAUCAGCAGUAUGGAAAAGAGUCCAUAGAACUGGAAAAUUUUGCUGUAAAUUUGCUGUUGUUACAUCCACAAAUUUGGAAAAAGUCAGCGCAAAGGCACAAUCCUUAAAAUAAAUAGAAGAAAAUGUCUCAGAGCUGCCAGCAGGCACUGGAGCUCCCCAGCAGAGGCUGCCUGGGAGAAGCACAAGCUGUGCAUAACUCCUCAGCCCCAGUAAACAGCAGCUUGGUGCUCUCCCUCCCUGGGAGAGAUGUGGUCUCUGCCAUUGGUGUAGGUUCUGAUGCUUCGAUCCCUUUCCCUGGCUGUAGACACCUACUCCUAAUUUGUGAUCCUGCCCUACUCCAGGAAGAGCUGGAGGAGACAGAAGGUGUGAAUGGACAGCCAAGACCGAGCAGAGCCAAGGAACUGGCUUGGCUCUGGAAGGCAAAAUGCAAGCUGAGCCAUUGGAGCCGGCUGUACACAGAUGAGAAGGAAAAUGCACAAAGUGAUAAAUAACUUUGCUUAGGCUGCCAGGAAAGGCUGCCAGAACAUUCUCGCUUGGCUUUGCUCUGACUUGGCUCGCCUGCUGCCGCCAGCCCCCCUCCUGCACAGACGAGAUGCCGGGCCAGAGCCACGCAUGCAUCUCGGGGCCGGCUCACCCCGUUCACCCACGGGCCAGCCGGCCCCUCGGACAGCUGCCUCUGCCCGAGCCUCUCCCGUCUGCAGCCCACCCUCCACACCCAAGGGUGCACCUGGCAGAAAGGCACAGAGAGAGAAAAGCAUGAGGUGUGCCGUUAGCCUGGGUUGUUUUUGGAGGAGCCACCUCUCCCAGUGCAUUCCUGACAAUCUGGAUGGCCUCUUCCUCUAGCAUCAUCCUACAGCGCUGCCUCCAUGGGUAGCGAAAUCCUUCUUUCUCCAGGGGGCAGCUCCACACCCUUUCCUUCCAAACACAAGUAGCACCCACAGGUGAUACGGAUGGUUUCUCCAGAGGAGAUCAGACACCUGCAUUCUCACCCGUGGGUGCCUGGCAGCUUGCGGAGCAGCCUCAGGUGAAGGGCUGGAGUCACGGCAGGGGAUGUGCGGAACAGGGAUGAACUGCCACUGCCACACACGGCGGCACACAAAUCAAAGCAAUGCUUUGUCCAGUGCUGUGUGGUGCUACCAGCUUCAUGCCUCAUUGGAGUGGAAGGAGAGGUGGAUACUUCAGAGGAUUUAUCAGGCAAAAAGAUGUGUCGGCAUUUCUCAGUUUCGACUGGCAGCUCCAGCUUGAGGAAAGCUAUUGUUGCAGGAUUUCCAACUUCUCAUUGCCUUUCUGAUCUGUGGUGCACGUUGAACAUAUGUCUCUGUUUAGUUGCCCAUUAUUUAACCUAGAUUUUUCCCCCCUUGAGAGAUUACUGUGAAUUCAGGGCACAUGAAUGGUGUAAUUUAUCAUUUUCCAAUAUAGACCGUCAUGCACUUAUAUAUAGUGAAAAUAAUUUGUUGUCAAGUUAUCCAGUUACCACCUCAUUUUAUAUGCUUCAUAAUAAGCUAUUUGUAAUGAUCCAUGCUCGUCAGAAGUCAAAAUAACCAAAAUAUUGCCAUCUCACUACAGAUAACUACUCAAUAUUUCCAGCAGCACUGAAUCAUCCUGAUCCCUGGGAGAGUUAUGUCCACAUUAUUACAGAAACAGUUUGCUACCAGAAAAUGCCUUUUCAAGAGUGCCCACUUUUCUUUUGAAACCCUAUAGACUUUGGAAAAAUUCAUUUUGAGGGGAAAAUGCUAUUUUAUUGGAAUUUUUUUUUCCGCUUGUUCCAAGUUACGUUUAUUUUCCUGUUUUCCUCUUACUGUCAUGUAUUCCCUUCACAAAGGGUAUGUCUUUCUGUGUGACCCUGCUCAUAACACUAACACAUUGAAGGUUAUGGGCAUGCCCUUGUGGUACAUCCAAGCUAUUUUUCUAAAAUAUUAGAAUGCUUAGAAUACUCUAAUUAGCACCCAUUCACCCUGCAUGCUGCAAAAUGCCCAAAGAUCCUUACGGUCACUGAAAAGAGAGAGCUGCUGUUAGAAAGCGGUUCAUCCCACUCCGGGAUCCAGAUGACCCUUGGCUGUACCUGUCCCACCCCCUGACAGCUGAGGUAUGUUAGCCUCCUACUUAGAAGAGGCCUUCAAUUAGGCAGAUCAGUUAGGUGCAUCAGUUAGGCUUAGGCUGAACCUGGCUCAAACACUUCUUUUGUUCCUCUGUUGUUUGGUGUUAAACCAUUUCCCUCCUGUGCAAGCCAGAGACCCCAGCACCAUUUGUUGUGCUUUAGCGUCUGUGCUCUAAUCCGCCAGCCUGACGGGGUAGCUGCCCUCAGGGAUUUAAAAUGUAAGUUAUUUCCACUGUUAUUUUAUGGCAUGACUUUGCAUGAUGUGACAUCCCUGUUUGGCUUGAACAGGGACCAGUGGCUUGGACUGCCUGACAGACGAUAGUCAGAGACUAAUGACUGCCUGCAUACUGCUAGGAGGAACCCCCUGGGGCAGCAGGGGGACCGCUGCCAGCUCUGCUCUGAAUUAACAUCUUCACUAAGGAGCAGGCAGUGAGAUUAGGCAGCCGAGGAAAGAGGGACAAGUAACACCAACCCCCCUGGUGUUCCAGCUGCAGAGAAGUCAGCUUUUUGAAAAUAUUGCGAGUAGGUUGUUCAGGUCGAUCAGACAGAUAAAUAAUCAAGGACCCAUACUGUUCCCCAGGGGGUUUUAAUGUUUCAGAUGGAUGUAAACAUGGCAAGUUGUUAUCAGAGAAAUUGCAGUAGCUGAAACUGGACUGAAACUGUUUGUACACAGAAAUGAUCUCUAGAGCAUACAGUUAGGAUGUUUAUAAAGUGAUGAGCUGCUAGCUGCAGUUUCUGUGGCUUCCUAAACAAAAUGAUGGGCUUAGGUAGAAAAACCACUGCCCUGCACAUUCUGAAGCUGCUAAAACAAGGCUGCAGAAUAAAACAGUAGCAGAGAAAAAAUGGGGGGGGUUGAGAGCUUUUUUGAAGCAGCUCUCUGGAGGAGGAACACCUCAGAAAGAACCCCAGGUGACAAAAGAGAAAAAAAUUAACACAAGAUAAACUCUGAACUUGAAUCUGUCUGGUUUUCUAGCUUUUCUUUUGCAACUGUAUUUCAAAUCUUGUAAUAAAAAAAUUUGCUUUGUUCUAUUAGAAUAA